UCUCCAAAUAAAUGACACAUCAU
rnacentral:snRNA from 1 species